UACGUAGGGGGCUAGCGUUGCUCGGAAUCACUGGGCGUAAAGGGUGCGUAGGCGGGUUUGUAAGUCAGGGGUGAAAUCCCGGGGCUCAACCCUGGAACUGCCUUUGAUACUGGAUAUCUGGAGUUCGGGAGAGGUGAGUGGAAUUCCGAGUGUAGAGGUGAAAUUCGUAGAUAUUCGGAGGAACACCAGAAGCGAAGGCGGCUCACUGGCCCGAUACUGACGCUGAGGCGCGAAAGCGUGGGGAGCAAACAGG
rnacentral:rRNA from 1 species